UACAGAGGUCUCAAGCGUUGUUCGGAUUCAUUGGGCGUAAAGGGUGCGUAGGCGGCGCGGUAAGUCGGGUGUGAAAUUUCGGAGCUUAACUCCGAAACUGCAUUCGAUACUGCGGUGCUCGAGGACUGGAGAGGAGACUGGAAUUCAUGGUGUAGCAGUGAAAUGCGUAGAGAUCAUGAGGAAGACCAGUGGCGAAGGCGGGUCUCUGGACAGUUCCUGACACUGAGACACGAAGGCCAGGGGAGCAAACGGG
rnacentral:rRNA from 1 species